AUUGAACGCUGGCGGCAGGCCUAACACAUGCAAGUCGAACGAGUGGCGGACGGGUGAGUAAUGUCUGGGAAACUGCCUGACGGAGGGGGAUAACUACUGGAAACGGUAGCUAAUACCGCAUACCAUCAGAUGUGCCCAGAUGGGAUUAGCUAGUGGGUGGGGUAACGGCUCACCAAGGCGACGAUCCCUAGCUGGUCUGAGAGGAUGACCAGCCAACCUGGAACUGAGACACGGUCCAGACUCUUACGGGAGGAAGCAGUGGGGAAUAUUGAGCAAUGGGCGCAAGCCUGAUGCAGCCAUGCCGCGUGGAGGAAGAAGGCCUUCGGGUUGUAAAGUACUUUCAGCGGGGAGGCGUUACCCGCAGAAGAAGCACCGGCUAACUCCGUGCCAGCAGCCGCGGUAAUAC
rnacentral:rRNA from 1 species